rnacentral:rRNA from 1 species
UACGUAGGGUGCAAGCGUUAAUCGGAAUUACUGGGCGUAAAGCGUGCGCAGGCGGUUUUGUAAGUCAGAUGUGAAAUCCCCGGGCUUAACCUGGGAACUGCGUUUGAAACUACAAGGGCUAGAGUGUGGCAGAGGGGGGUGGAAAUUCCACGUGUAGCAGUGAAAUGCGUAGAGAUGUGGAGGAACACCGAUGGCGAAGGCAGCCCCCUGGGUCAAGACUGACGCUCAUGCACGAAAGCGUGGGGAGCGAACAGG